GAGAAGAGCAACGGCGGCGGCGGCGACCUAUGAAGAGGCGAGAGGAGCGGUGGUGGCGGCGUCGAGCUGCGAAGAGGCGUCGCUCGGGCGCGAGACCACGGAGGCUGGAGCGGCUGCUUCGGGCCCCGAUCUGAGAGGGUACGAGGCAGGGAAGGACGGCAUCGUCGCCGUCACAGGUCUUCCUUCAGUCCCUUUCGUUCCCUCUCCGGUUCAUCCUCUUCCCACCCUCGUAUUAGGAAAGUUCUAUUAGGAUCCGGUGCCACCGUGCGCCAUGAUUUCAGAUUGGCUUGCCUGCUACCCCGAACGGAUGCGCCACCCAGUCAGCCGAGCGAUGGCAGAAUAUGCUUUUGUAGAACUGCAUAUCUAUUUGUUAUGAAUCUAGAGUCUCAAAGCCAAUAAGUUGCUAAAUCAUUGACUGGCUGUUUCCAUGUUUGUAUUAUGCGCUUCUCACUCGGCGAGGGGAGCAUUAGGCCUCCUAUGGUCUGGAUUUCUCCAAAUGAUUAGGCUUUGCGAAAAUUGUGUACGCAUGUCUUACAGCCUGGGUAUUGCUCUUCUAGAUAUACUCUAUUGUUUUUGUUCACUUAAUUCUAAUGAGUAUUUAAACUUCUUCAAGCAUAUUGGACUUUUGAAUCUAUGUAGCCAGCACUUUGGAAUUUAUCUAGACAAGUAUUUUUGGUAAUGAUAUGUAUUUGCAAGCUUACUUCUCAGUUUUUCUAUUGUUGGGUACAUAUAGAUAAUUUCGUUGGGUAUCUACAAAGUACAUAUAGAUAAUUUUCGACCAUUUGUGACUGAAAGAUUUUUGCCAUAAGAAAAUUAACUCUGUCGAGCAGUGCUCGUUGUCAAGGAAAUGACGGGAAAUUGCUGAGCCUUAUUGAUUGGAAGAGGAAUGCUAAUCCUACAAAUAGAUCUAUAAUGAAUUGGACUUGAGAACAAUCAACAAAUAAUAAACAGUCCCAAAUUUGUAGAUGUUGUUUGAUUCAAAUACCGAUUUAAGCAUUUGGCGCAUCUAAAAUUCAUCAAAAAGGAUGUGCGAUUUUCUGCCUAAUCACUUAGUGUAUUGUUUGGUAAUCAGGUUAUCCUGGACCUCUUUGGGGACAACAUCACCAAGUUUCCUUCUUAUUGCACUGCAAGUUAAAAAAAGUCAGUGACUAAUGACUCUUCUUAUCUCUUUGUUCAUCCAUGUGCUUAGCUGCAAAAAUUCUAAAAAGAUACCCCUAAUGAGGGGUGGCGGAUGUGCGUCCUCUAGGGCCUCGUCGGCCAGAGAAGGAGGGGAGGAGCGGUUGCCGACGAGCGAGGUGGCUCUGUUUGGACCGGCCAUGGUGUUGGCUGUUGACUCCCACCGGUCUUGUCUCCCCCAACCCUUCCAUGGAGCUCGCUUAGCCACCGGCCGGCACAUCUUCUUGCUUACAACACCAAGGCCAUGUAGCUUACUUUUUAACUGUUAUUGCUGAUUGGAGCCAUUGCUAUUGGCUAUUUAUACAUAAGAUGGAAGGUGAAUUGAAAUUUUUGUGAGGGGGAUUGGAUUUUAUCCAGAUGGCUUGCUUCUCGUGAUGAGACUGAUACUAAUGAACUAAUGAAGACAUGAAGGUUGCAUCUUAUCCCCAUUUCCCUUUCUACAUUUGCCAUUUAGUCGAUUAACAUACAUUGUACUAUUUCCCUUUCUAUAGUUGCCAUUUAGUUGAUUAACAUACAUUGUACUAUUUUCGGUUAAGCACACUAUGGGUCAAUGAAUGUGGAAUUAGCUACUUUUUAUAUCCCUGGACCAUAUAUAUUACAUGCAUCAGUACUUGAUGCAUCUCUGAUAUGCUUUUGCUUUUUAUUGUUACCCUUAAUUACUACUUUUCUAUGAACCCAAUGUUUAGGUUGCAGGCUCAACUGCAUAUCUAUAUUCUCUGUAUGAAUUUUUUAGCUAGCUUUGAAGCGAAUGUGGUGAUCAAGGCUCUAAUAUGUAUUCUUUAUUUGCAUGAAUGUUGUGUGCAUAUAGGUACUUGCAAUGGAAUCUUUUUCUCAUAGACGAGAAGUACUUUGAAAACAGAUUUUAAAAAUUGAUAUAAUUUUACAAGUGUGCAGAUAGUUGACAAGGCAACAAUGCUAUUGUUCAAAUGUAGUCGAGCCGGGCCUUUGGUGUUUUCGGUGCUAUUGUUCAAAUUUUGCUUUCUUAGAUUCAUUGCAACCAAAAGAUUUGGUAAUAUUUUUUUUCUGGAAACAUGGAUACACUUGUUGGUGUUGUAUACUGGGAUCUGUAAGUAUUGUCAUAGGAAUUUUUUUAUCCUAAGGAUUCACACAGAUUGGAGGGGAAUUAGUAUCUAACAUCUUGUUAAAUGUACACAAACUGGUAUAUCUUCAUGGCUUUUAAGCUAUAUAAUUGUAGAUGAUAAUUUAUGCUUUGAUAAAGUAAUAUCUUACUUCUCGGUGCUUGGAUAAAAUAGUAUAGUUUGCUGAAAAUAUGUUCAUACUUUAUAUCACAGAAGUACAAACUGACAAUCAGCCUAUGGUGAAGUUAAAAGAAGCAAAAGUACUGUGUGUAUAAUCAUUAGAUUUGUUAAGGUGAAUCAGAUUUAUUUUUGCUGCUGUACGUAGAAUGCAGUUUAUCUUAAUUCCUGUUGCUGCGUUUGGCCCUACAUGUCGAUGGGUGUGGCCGCUCCCUUGUUAGUUUGUUGCUCGAUUUGGUUUGGUCCAAGGUAGGCUGUGUGUUGUCUACGUCUGUAUAUUCGUUGGCUGGAUAAGAAGAUUUUGCAGGUUUUUCUCUGGUAUGGUUGCUUCUGCUCUGAGUGCAGGUUCCUAUGAUUUCUAGACAGUGUAUUGGUUUUAAGGAUUGCUCGGUUAGUUUAAAAGUGCUUUGAUUUCCUUCUUGUCUUCUCGCACAGACCUUGAAGAUGGCUAGGUUUGCAUGGGCAUGGGGUUUGGUACACCUGGCCUCUAUUUAGAUUUGUUAAUAAAUUCAGUUUAUCACGAACACCAUAAAUGUGUUAUCAGUUUACUAUCUUGGCACAUGAGCUAUUUUUCAGUCAAUGCGUGCCGAGUCCACUUGGAACUGAAUAUGUAGUGUUUUCUUUGAAACUGAGUAACUGUGGUUGAAAUUUAGUUUCAUUUGGACGAGCUACCCAAGUAUCAUCAAUUCAUGAUGGCUAAUUUAUCUUGGUUCUUGAUGAAUCCGCCAUGGUCCUGAUUUAAGAGUUUUUAUGUUAUUUCUCAGCCUAUUUGAGCUAUUAUCGUUCUGUUUAACACACACAAUUGUAGCUGCCCUUUUUGAUUCAGAAAAAUGGUCUUCAUGUCUGUGGUUUGGUUAAACAUUUUCUCAGCAUAUCUCUAUUCAUCAGUCUUAACUCGCAUAACAUCCAAUAUAGUUUGUCUGAUCCAGACUAAAUGUUGGUUGUUGCUAUGUUUUGUGUGCAGUCUAUUUCUCUUCUAUCUUGGUCAUUAAAGAUGUGACAAGAAAGAAAUUUCAAAAGGUUUGAUAAUCUAGAAUGCUCAUAUGGAGUUAUUUGAACCAGUUCUUUUAGUAGCUGCUGAGACCAGAUGUAUCAGAAAAAUUUAAAAUAUACCAACAGUAGGGUUGACCAAUAAUGCUGAAUUGAUUCAGUCUUCAGGCCUUAUGCACAAUUUCCACAGUGUUAAGAUAAUAUAUGCUUUAAUGCUCCUGUGCACUGCUUUAAUGCUUCUGCUUGUUUGUCUGAAUCUUCUUGUUGUUCAUUAAUUUCUUGUCGCCUGCUGUUGCCCAUGAGGGGGAGUCGGACCCAUCAUGGAUAACCAUCCCUGAUGAGCUUUUAAUACAUACUGAUGGUGACAAAAUUGAUGCCAUUGUUCAGGUUGUAUACAAAGAUGUUCCUACUAGGUAUUCUGACGUUGAUUAUCUAAAAGAAAGAGCAAUUCUAACACCAACGAACCAAGUAGCUGAAAAUUAUAAACGAGCGCGUUCUAUCUUUAGUGCCUACCAGUGAGAGAGUACCUAAGCUGUGUCAAGUGUCUAUGCCUAUGUUUUAUAUGCAAAUACCUUUCCUCUUUUGCACAAACCAUGCUUCCUGUACAAUGAUAUUUAAUAGCAGCAAACUAAACAGGUUGGUUAGGAAACUGAAGCUGCAGCUACUGAAGAGCCAAAGAACAUUCUUGUUGAACAGGCUAAAGGCAAGAGGUAAAGACUCAUAGUCUGUUACAUCCAACCAGUUCAACGUACGAUAUGGCGUGCCGCCUCUUGUUCUUCCUUUACCUUGUCUUAUUUGACAACCAAAGCAUCCUUCUCUGUGGCUCUCAAAAUUGCUUUCUUCUUCACACGAUGCAUGUUAUGCCAUUUGAUCAAACUACUUUUCUGCCACAACUAUAUUCAAAUGGAUCAUAGGCCCAAUAAAACAUCAUUUUACUUCAAAAUCUAAUAUACGUUUUAUUUAUUUUCCUGUUGCAUGUACAGGCAACUCUUCCUGUUGCAUCAAAAGUAACUUGCUUCGUACAUGCAAACUAAUUAGCCAUAUAGUUAAAUUAGCUACGUAUUAAGAUUCGAUACAUCUACUGCUUAUUUAUGUUGUGUUCUAUUUGCUGUGUCCAAUCUUUAUGCGCUUGUUAUUUUUAUCACACUGUAAUCAAGCUUCUAUUGUUAUAGCAAUACGAAAUCCUAUGCAUCAAGCUUCUGUUCUUAUAGCAAUUACAGUUUUGAUACCUCUGUUUCUUUAUAUCAUCUUGUUGGGUUUCUGUUUCUCUUCAUAUAGGAUACAGAUAUAUGUGAUACUCAUGUGGUCCUUUCGCUGGAAACUUGCUAAUCUUAGGGGUGCUGCUACUGGUGUAAAAACCAUCUUAUCAAAAGAACUAAAGUACUCCCUCCGUUCCAAAAUAGAUGAACCAACUUUGUACUAGAGUUAGUACAAAAUUGGUUCAUCUAUUUUGGAAUGGAGGGAGUAGUAGCUAAUCCAAGCAUUGAAGAAUUGAUGCAGAGGUUACGCUAUAUUGGAAGUCAGAGCAGCGCGUGAAGACUACAUAAGAUAGUUUCUGGUGACCUUCAGUCUAUAUGUCCUAACCAACAACAGCCACCUUUUAUUUUGUAUCAAUCGAUCCAGUAUCUUUCCCCUUUUGGCGUUGCUCUGAGCAAGAUAUGUAUAGCCUUUAGAUUUCCAUUCGUGUAUGAUACUACAUGUACACUUUAGACCUCAUUACUGUCUCUGUGGUCAAAAGAAGUUUGUGAUCACUUGUUCUAUAUAUGUAAUCAACUGCCCUUCUACUAAUAUUUUCAGACGACUAUUUAUGUAUGUUUACACUGGUUAGAGAAAAUCAUCACACUGC
rnacentral:rRNA from 1 species